AUUUCACACCAUCGAAACUGAAUAUUCUAGGACGGCUGUGACAGUAACCAACGUGUAGAAAAUAUCACUUUCGUUACGUCCCAAGUUAAAAAAAAAACAGUUAAAUGUCUAUAUGGCAUUCAUGGUUAGAUUUUUUUUUCAAUGAAACGUGGACAAAUCUCAUAGUUUUCAAACCAACGUGGAUUCCCACUCAUUAAAUAGGUCCCGAUGGAGGCCAAACAUGAAAAUACUUCUUUGAAAUCCUAACCUCUUUGUCAUCUAAAUUGCACUUAGGUUUACAAACUUAAGAAAACAACAAUUAUGGUGACAUGGCUCGGAGAUUUGCACUUGGAUAUCAAUGGAUUUCUAUCGAUAGUUCCUUUAAAUACUAGAGUGCUCCCAAAUCUUAUAUAAUUUGAGAUCAUACAAAUUCAUGAUUGUCAUGAUAAGAACUUAUUAAUAAAAAAUCCUGAUUAAAUAAACAAAAAUGAGACAAAAUGGUGAAAAUAUUAGCACAAGAAAGCGUGUCACGCCCCGAUCUCGGCAUACGUCUAGGAUUGACACACAACGCUCGACUGUAGGGGUGCGAGGAACUACAAACAAAAAAUAAUGAACUGAAAUUCAUUGGUGAAUUCUGUCACAAACAAUUAUAACAGCUGUACAACAAAAGCAACUAACCCAUAAAAGAAAGUCCAAAAAUAUAACAUAAGGAAAAUAUAGGGGUGACCAAAGUACUCCAAUAUUUGUACUCUGAACUUUGAACUACUUCCCCAAAAGCUUCUACUACCUUUCACCUACACAAUCGCCUCCUACACUAAGCGGAUGGUGCAUCAGGUAAAGUAACAACUCGGAUAAGCUGUGAAGCUAGUGUGAGUGAAAAUAAUCUAGCGUAUGUGAUAAUUAUAAAACAAGUCCAUCGACCACAAUUUAUAAACAACUUUCAUCAAAUCAUAUUUUAUAAAAGUUCUGCAAAAGCAUCGAAGAUGAAGAAGCUGUAUGAUGAUAAUGACUUGAAAUACACACAAUCUUGGAUGUUAUCAAUAGACGGACAAAUAGAAAAAGACCUAGUUUAUAAACACACCAAAAAUCUCGAAUGAGUCACCCAGGUAUCCAUUGGCCUUUCUAAAUCAACCACAAAGGUUAUCAAAUCUAUAAUUCAUAAAUAUACUCAAAUCUCACUCUAAAUCGACACAGUUUGGUUGAAGCCUACAACUCCUAUGAUUCUAAAAUCUAGACUAAAUCCAAGGAAUAAACAAAUCAAUGGAACCGAAUAAGAGAGGGAUUUCGGACCACUCAACAGAACCAAAUAGGAAAGGGAUUUCGGACCACUCAACAGAGUUUCGGAAUGCUCAACAGAACCUAACAGAAUACAAUUCCAGACCACUCAACGAAAUCCAGACAGAGUAGGGAACUAGACCACUCAACGAAAGCGAGUAGAGUUCAAGGAACAUAGUUUACAACGACUUAACAAAGUGGGACAUGACACAAAUUCAAAGCAACAACUCCCCAUAACCAUGGGUUAACGGUUCCCUACUAGCCCUCACGUUUCUUAAACAUUUCAAAUAUGGAUAUCAAAUCACGUUUUAUAAAAUAGAUCGAUGUUUCAUAAACAUUUCAAUUAUACAUUUUAAAUCACAUUGCAUAGAAUUGAUCAAUGGCAUAAUUUAAAAAACAACAAUAUAGUAGAAAACACAUUUAUAAAUCCAUGCUGUAUCCACCAAAGAUACUAACAAAUGAAUUUUCAGGGUAAUAAUCGAUACCACACAUUUUACAGUCACUCACCUAGAAUCUAUGCUAAUGCACCCUAGAACAAUGAUCAAGGCACACAUGUACAAAAUUGUCGCACAGAACAAAAAAUCAAGUCACGUCUCAAAAUUUUAGCAAUAAAACAUAUAAUUUUACGUUAUGCACAUCCUCUAGGACACUCUACAUGGAUUUGGCUCACGUUGACCAAAAUCAUAACUUGACGUUACAUGUCCUCUAGGACAUUCUAGAUGGAUUCGGUUUACAUUGACCAAAAGUCAACAAUCGGUCAACCAUUAACGGUAGGGUCAAGAACCCUAUGUAACUCUACCCGGAAGAUUCGCACGUCGAAUUUCCUAUCCAUAACUUCCUAAGGGUCUCCUUAUGCUUCUAGAACAACAUACUAAAAUUUCAUGUCGAUUCGACAAUCAGAUUUCCGUGAAUUAUAAAUUUAAGUGGCGGUCAACUACGAAACUAGGUUAAAACGGUUGAAUUUCACUAAAUGGAUGCCAAAAAUAGAUUCAAGGCACUGAAAAUAGCUAGGAAAGACAUUUUGGGUUUUUGGCCACGCGCUACCACGUGCUCCCAUGCCCGAGCUGAGAUCAAAUGGAAAAUUUCGUCAAAACUAACAUAAUAUUCAAGGUAUAUACCUAACUGCGUUAGGGAAUAUUUCAAGGUUAACAAAAUCUUUCAUGCCUUCUUACUCUCUUCUUUAGUCGUCGGCACCGUCGCUGUCUACUGUCUGCCACAGUGAUUGUCGUCAAAUUUCGCAAAAAAAAAAAAGGCCAGAAAAUAGCUUGAAAUUAACAGGAAAAGUACAGCUCAAACCAAUGUUCUUAGAACCUGUCUGUGAAUUGAUUUUCAGGAAACAAAUGAUGGUUUCACGUUUCUAGGGUCCAGAAGAGUAAUUUGAUGGUGGUUUGGGUGAUUAAUUCAACAAGUCUGGAGGUGGUGAUGGCUGUGGCUCACAAUGAGGGAAGAAAUGGGAAGAGAGAGUUUGAGAAGUGAUAGAAAUCGCAAAAGAAGUAGAAAAGAGAAGAAAGAUCCAGAAAAAUGCAUUUUUGAUUUGAAAACCCUCUGACUACUUAACGUAAACUUCUUUUUUCAGCACUCCAUUGAGAAAUACUAUUUUGACAUCCAAUUGGAACAGUUUCCAAUGUUUUUGAGUUUUGACAUCCAAUUGGAACAAUUUCCAAUGUUUUUGAGCUGCCAGGGCUAUUAUAGUUCUAAUAGUGUCCAACUUAGUCAUUGGGGCAAAGGUUUCAUUAAAAUCAACUCCAGGCUGUUGUGAGUACCCUUUGGCAAUAAGUCCUGCCUUGUUCUUCUGCAUAAACCCAUCCAAGUUAAGUUUUGUCUUGUACACCCACUUAACAUCAAAGGCAGGUUUGUCCCUUGGUCUAUUGACUAAUUCCCAAGUUGAAUUCUUCUCUAUAGUUGAGAUUUCAUCCUCUAUUGAUUUCUUCCAUGUUACAUCAUAUCUGGCUUCUUCAGAGUUUUCUGGUUAUACGACACAAAAAUUGCAGAAAGCAUAAAUUUCAUUCUAACUCCUCAUUCUAUAGGAGUUGAACUUGGGGUUGAAUCUUGUAAACCUGUGAGUUAAGGACUCCCACUUAUAGUCUAAGGUGUUGACAUCUGAUAAGAUUAAGGAGACUGAACAGGUGAUUGAAUCGUAGCGCUUAUCCAGCGUUUUAAAAGACGUGCCUCAGGGUGCGCCUAGGCGGCCUUGGAGGCGGGGCUUCAACAAUUUCACCUCUAUUUUCUUGGAUUGGGCGGAAACUUGCCUAAGCUUCGCCGGGGUGCGCUUAGGCGCCUAAGGUGUUGACUGGGCAUUCCGUGAUCCAAAAUCUUGCUUGAAAUCUAAAAUUUUCGAAAACUCUGCUCUUUAACUUUGUUGUAGCAGCAUCUUCACAAAGAAGACCACCGCGCAAGGAAGAAGAAAGGUUUUUUUUUUUUUUUUAUAAAGACUUGGCCCAAAACGACAUCAUUUUGGCCAAGUCUAACUUCUAUUAUUUUUUUUUAUAAUAACUACAAUCCUUUUUCUCUGCCAAUUCUCUGCUAUUUUCACCACCCAAUAUCCCAUUUUCUCUGUAUAUUUCACCAACCAAUACCCGAUUCUCUGUACUAUAUUUCACCCCAUCCCUAAUUCCACAAUUCCCCAAUUCCUCAAACCCUAAAUUCUCAAUCCCAAUCAUAUAUUUCAAUUUUACUUCAAUCUCAUACCUCAAUUGUUUCAAAAUUCUCCAAACCACCAUAAUUUGUUUCAAAAUUCAAGUUUUUUAGUAUUCUAAUCACAAUAUAUAAUUAUAUAUACAAUAUAUAAUAAAUUGUUUAGGUCCCAUGAGGCUUCGCCUCAUGCCUCACUCCUCAUGCUUAGGCAAGACUAUCCAUGGAAUGCCUCACCUACGCCUCCUCCUUUUAAUACAUUGCGCUCAUCUUAGGUUCCUCCUGAGUGUCAGGCUGUACAUUGUUGGAAGAAUCAUCAACCAAGGGUACAGACAUUUGCACUUCAGUGUUGUUCUCCCAUAUCCAGUUUGCCUUUUUACCAAGGGUACAGUCUGUAUCCCUUCUCACAACCUCCACACCCAACAAACACACAUUUUUUGCUAGUUAUGUGGGCAUAGCACACAUAACUAAAUACUUUCAAGUGUUUCACAAAAGGCUUUCUCCCACUCAAAGCUUCAAGGGGUGUCAACUUGUCCAUUGCCUUGGACAUCAAUUCAGCAAGUAAACAGCUGUGUUAACAGCUUCUCUCAAAAGUGAUAUGGCAUUUCUUUCUCAUGCAACAUUGAUCUUUCCAUUUCACUAUGGUCUUAUUUUUCUCUCAACCACUCCAUUCUGUUGAGGGCUAUAAGCUAUUGUCAAUUGCCUGUCUAGGCCUCCGUCAUCACAGAAUCUAUCAAAUUCCAGUGAAGUGUAUUCGCCACCUCUAUCACUUCUUAGUUUUUUUUUUAUUUCAAAACCACUUUCUUGAACACAUCGGACUUGUGUCUCAGCAAGUAAGCCCAUCACAUUCUGCUCCUGUCAUCAAUGAAGGUCAAAAAAUACCUAUUCCCUCCUAGUGUUGAAGUCCUCAUUAGACCACACACAUCACUGUGAAUCAAUUCCAGUCGGUGGCUCUCCAAGUUUGGAUUGUAGAGAAUGGUUCUCUAUGUUAUUUUCCCAUUGCACAGCCUUCACACACUUCUGUCACAUCUUCUAUCUCAGAUAGUUCAUAAACCCACUCCUGAUUCUUCAAGUUCCUUAGACUUUGGUGAAUAAGAUGACCAAGCCUCUUGUACCAUAGCCAAGCAUUUUCAACCACAUUUUCUCUCAUGGCAACUGAAUCUAAGUGUUUAAGAAAUAGAGGGAAGCUCAUGUUCUCCUUCAUCCGUACCCUAGUCACCAAGUUCGACAGUGAUCUGUCAUCAUAGAUUUCAAUCAUGGAAUCACCAAACAAGAGAAAGUACUUGAGUUUAAUCAUUUGUCCUACACUGAGGAGGUUCUCAUCAAGUCCAAGCACAAGCAUUACCUCCUUUCCAUUCUUGGUCUUGGUCAAUCAUUUGAGUUCCUCUACCAACUGAAUCAACCAAAUUUUCAUUUCCUAUUUUGACUCUGCCCUUGAAGAAUGCAUCUAUGUCAAUGAGUAAUGACUCAUGUGCAGUCAUGUGCUUACUACAACCACUAUCCAUGGACCAAAUGGUGUUUGCCUUCUCCACAGUUGCCAUUCUACACUGAGCAAAGAACACAUUUGCUUCAUCAACUUGAUUUGCAAAGUUGACUUGCUAGUUUCAUUUGAGUUGCAGUCCUUCGGCAAAUGCCCAAAUCUAUUGUAUUGUGAGCACUUGGGUUUUCCUUUGAACCAGCAAGCACCAAAAUGCAACUUAUCACAGAUUUUGCAGGGACUUCUUCAUGCCUCAUUUCCUGCAUUUUGUUUCUGCACAACACUAGACUUGCCAUCUCACUUCAUGUUUUUCCCCUUCCAUUCUUUCUUGCCUCUAAAGUUUUGAUUUCCAGAGGACCGUCCAAUUGAAUUGUUAUUUCUGUUUCCAAUGUUCAGCCCUUGGAAAACAUUCUCAGUUGUGUUCUCUGAGUGCCUAUCAAGCCUUCGGUCACAAUCUUUGACAGAUGCUACAACUUCAUGAAUCCCUAAAGUGUCAGGAUCUUCGUCACCUUCUCCUUCUGCUUGGAAGGCUCAUAGCCUUUCUGCACCAAAUCCCAAAGGUCAUGGGAUUUGAAGAUGGUUUUCAUCCUGAUACUCCAAAAACCUUAGUUUUCUCCAGUAAAGACUGGAGCUUUAACUUCUCCACUGUUGUUCAUAGACAUUUUGAAAAGAGGGGGAUGAUUUCUGGGAAGGUUUUUGGUGUUUCAGACUCGAGCUGUCUGGGUUUCAAACUUUGAAAUCUCCCCUUGAACCACAGCUACACCCAGCUAAUGAUCGAGAACCGGUUCUGAAGCCAUGUUAAACUUGGGAUAAUUAAAAGAAGAACAAGAGGAAUUUCUGGGAUUACAGUCUACUAAUGAUUGCAGCAAGACCGAUGCAUUUCGUUCAACAUUGAUCACAAAACAUUCUCUGCAUUCUUAUCAGAAUUGCAAGAGGUACAUGUCCUUCAAAUGGACAGCUGGAUAUGUGAAUCACAGCCCCACACUAGUCCAAAUCCCAACCUUACAUCUGCUCUAGCAUGACUAGGAUUUUACCUACUACACUUAUCAGAAACUAGCUGUUACAACUUAAACAAAACUAGCCUUGGAAAUGCUCCAAACUUUCAGAACCAACUUCCAACCCUCAAGGCUGCAAGCAGCUUUUAUUCCAACAGAUCUCGCCACCAAGGAAUAUUGCCAGUUUCCCACGCCGGUCGAUGGGGAUGACAGUACUGAGAUGUUUUUGGCGGUCUUGGGAGGCUCUUUAUGCAUUUAAGUGAAUCGUUGGGGUACCAGGAGUGAUGUUUGGAUUACGAAGAAAUACGGAGUGACAGAAUCUUGGACUUUGCUAUAUUCAAUUGAGCAGGAAGCUAUGCCUUGCGCACUAAAGCGUUACAAGCCUGUGGCGUUUUCAAAGAAUGGCGAAAUGCUUCUUUCGUGGUCUGCCCUUGUACUUGAGAGUAACAGUUUGUGUGAGGAGCAUUUGUCUUCUUGACCAUGAUUCUCUACCUGUUGGGAGCAGCCGCGAGUCCCUUUCUACCUCUAAGGAGGAGUCAGCGAAAGGGCUCUACCUCUUCUAGAGUGUUGAUGUUUCUACCUCUAAGUCGAUCAUCAAAAUUAGGCCGGAAUGCCGUGACAACAGAUGGGUGGAUUUUUGGUGAAGUUACAAGUAUGCAGACUUGUUUUCAACUCAUGGUGAAAUAUUAGGACGGAAGAGUGUAUGUCGUUUCAGAUUUGGUUGCGUUGUGAUCAGAGGAAGGAAAGGCUGGAUCAGUUUUCGAGUGACAAGAAGAUAGGAAACUGCAAACAAGAACACAAGACGAUGAUAGAAAAGGAAGCUAAUAACUUAUGUAGUUUUUUGUGGUUUGAAAAAGUAAUACUUGUAGUAUCUUGUUCUUGAUGCCGGUCCUGUAAUCGUAGAAAUCCUUUUCGUAUUCAGCUGGUAUUUGUAUUUGAUUAGUUUCAUCAUUUCUGAAUAUACCGAAACUUUUGAAUUUAAAAAAAUGAUGAUCCGAUCCGAUUUUAAAAUUUUAAAACGGAAAUUGAAAAUGUUGUUUCCAAUAGGAAAAACGCCCCUAUCGGGGAUUUAUCCCCAUGUUAGUACCUCACUCACCAUCAGCAACAGUGAACCGACGAUGAAAAGAGUCAAAGCUACAUUCGUAAGAAAUGUCACAAGUCAAAUGAUGUCAUAAGGCAAAUGAGUCAAAGAUAAAGGGUACGACUUUAAUCAAUUAGCAUUCUACCAUCAUUUAUUUAAUAACAUCAUCCUUAUCUGCUUCUAUUGUAAUUUAUAAUACAUAAAACACAUUUAACAUAUCCGAAAGCUGACACUAAUCUGUGGUUUUAUAGUAUCCAUA
rnacentral:lncRNA from 1 species